rnacentral:rRNA from 1 species
AUUGAACGCUGGCGGCAUGCUUUACACAUACAAGUCGAACGGUAACAGGCCUUCGGGUGCUGACGAGUGGCGAACGGGUGAGUAAUGCAUCGGAACGUGCCCAAUCGUGGGGAUAACGUAGGGAAACUUACGCUAAUACCGCAUACGACCUACGGGUGAAAGUGGGGGACCUUCGGGCCUCACGCGAUGAGAUGAGCCGAUGCCGGAUUAGCUAGUUGGCGGGGUAAAGGCCCACCAAGGCGACGAUCCGUAGCUGGUCUGAGAGGAUGAUCAGCCACACUGGAACUGAGACACGGUCCAGACUCCUACGGGAGGCAGCAGUGGGGAAUAUUGGACAAUGGGGGCAACCCUGAUCCAGCCAUGCCGCGUGUGUGAAGAAGGCCUCGGUUGUAAGUACACUUU